rnacentral:rRNA from 1 species
CACGCCGUAAACGUUGGACACUAGGUGUGGGAUGCGAUCAACGCAUUCCGUGCCGCAGUUAACGCAUUAAGUGUCCCGCCUGGGGAGUACGAUCGCAAGAUUAAAACUCAAAGGAAUUGACGGGGGCCCGCACAAGCGGUGGAGUAUGUGGUUUAAUUCGACGCAACGCGAAGAACCUUACCUGGUUUUGACAUGUAGGUUAAUCGGAUGAAAGUCCGUGAUCCUUCGGGAUCCUACACAGGUGG